rnacentral:rRNA from 1 species
GAUGAACGCUGGCGGCGUGCCUAAUACAUGCAAGUCGAGCGAACAGACAAGGAGCUUGCUCCUUUGACGUUAGCGGCGGACGGGUGAGUAACACGUGGGUAACUUACCUAUAAGACUGGGAUAACUUCGGGAAACCGGAGCUAAUACCGGAUAAUAUUUCGAACCGCAUGGUUCGAUAGUGAAAGAUGGUUUUGCUAUCACUUAUAGAUGGACCCGCGCCGUAUUAGCUAGUUGGUAAGGUAACGGCUUACCAAGGCGACGAUACGUAGCCGACCUGAGAGGGUGAUCGGCCACACUGGAACUGAGACACGGUCCAGACUCCUACGGGAGGCAGCAGUAGGGAAUCUUCCGCAAUGGGCGAAAGCCUGACGGAGCAACGCCGCGUGAGUGAUGAAGGUCUUCGGAUCGUNAAACUCUGUUAUUAGGGAAGAACAUACAUGUAAGUAACUAUGCACGUCUUGACGGUACCUAAUCAGAAAGCCACGGCUAACUACGUGCCAGCAGCCGCGGUAAUACGUAGGUGGGCAGCGUUAUCCGGGAUUAUUGGGCGUAAAGCGCGCGUAGGCGGUUUUUUAGUCUGAUGUGAAAGCCCACGGCUCAACUCGUGGAGGGUCAUUGGAAACUGUAAAACUUGAGUGCAGAAGAGGAAAGUGGAAUUCCAUGUGUAGCGGUGAAAUGCGCAGAGAUAUGGAGGAACACCAGUGGCGAAGGCGACUUUCUGGUCUGUAACUGACGCUGAUGUGCGAAAGCGUGGGGAUCAAACAGGAUUAGAUACCCUGGUAGUCCACGCCGUAAACGAUGAGUGCUAAGUGUUAGGGGGUUUCCGCCCCUUAGUGCUGCAGCUAACGCAUUAAGCACUCCGCCUGGGGAGUACGACCGCAAGGUUGAAACUCAAAGGAAUUGACGGGGACCCGCACAAGCGGUGGAGCAUGUGGUUUAAUUCGAAGCAACGCGAAGAACCUUACCAAAUCUUGACAUCCUUUGACAACUCUAGAGAUAGAGCCUUCCCCUUCGGGGGACAAAGUGACAGGUGGUGCAUGGUUGUCGUCAGCUCGUGUCGUGAGAUGUUGGGUUAAGUCCCGCAACGAGCGCAACCCUUAAGCUUAGUUGCCAUCAUUAAGUUGGGCACUCUAAGUUGACUGCCGGUGACAAACCGGAGGAAGGUGGGGAUGACGUCAAAUCAUCAUGCCCCUUAUGAUUUGGGCUACACACGUGCUACAAUGGACAAUACAAAGGGCAGCGAAACCGCGAGGUCAAGCAAAUCCCAUAAAGUUGUUCUCAGUUCGGAUUGUAGUCUGCAACUCGACUACAUGAAGCUGGAAUCGCUAGUAAUCGUAGAUCAGCAUGCUACGGUGAAUACGUUCCCGGGUCU